rnacentral:rRNA from 1 species
UUCCUAGUAGCGGCGAGCGAGCGGGAAGAGCUCAAAUUUAUAAUCUGGCACCUUCGGUGUCCGAGUUGUAAUCUCUAGAAGUGUUUUCCGCGUUGGACCGCACACAAGUCUGUUGGAAUACAGCGGCAUAGUGGUGAAACCCCCGUAUAUGGUGCGGACGCCCAGCGCUUUGUGAUACACUUUCAAUGAGUCGAGUUGUUUGGGAAUGCAGCUCAAAUUGGGUGGUAAAUUCCAUCUAAAGCUAAAUAUUGGCGAGAGACCGAUAGCGAACAAGUACCGUGAGGGAAAGAUGAAAAGCACUUUGGAAAGAGAGUUAACAGUACGUGAAAUUGUUGGAAGGGAAACGCUUGAAGUCAGACUUGCUUGCCGGAGCUUGCUUCGGUUUGCAGGCCAGCAUCAGUUUUCCGGGGUGGAUAAUGACGGUUUGAAGGUAGCAGUCUCGGCUGUGUUAUAGCUUUCCGUUGGAUACAUCCUGGGGGACUGAGGAACGCAGCGUGCUUUUUGCGAAAGACUCGUCUUUUUCACGCUUAGGAUGCUGGUGGAAUGGCUUUAAACGACCCGUCUUGAAACACGGACCA